UGAUUGUCUAGGUAUCAAAGUAAAGGGGAGACUUUGAUGUUCACUGUCAACGUGAAAAUGGGACAGAAAAGCAAGCCUAAAUAAGCAACCACACGUUCAGACACAAGCCCAAAAAAACGCAACCUCCGACUCGCGAAAUUCGCAGAUGUGAGGUUUCUCCUCAAAUCCUCAGUGCCAGUCAUGCUGAGCCGUGCAUGCUGAAAAACUAGGACGAAGAGCAGUUCUCCCAGUAUCUGCAGCAAACCAGGCACGAGAAACGGUACAGAAACAUGUCAAUAUCAGCUGAGCUGAGGCAAGUAGAGUAAAAGAAUAACACAUUAAAGAGCAGCAUGGUGUGUUUAACAAAGUUAAUUUGAGGAGUUUUCCUGUCUUCACGCUGUGGUGUUAAUUUCCAUCUUUAUCUCCUAACGUCUCUCAACAUGACGGUCUUUCGUCUUCCUCUUCAUUAUCUCCAAGCAGUUUGUCGCCCCCAAAGGCAGUUUACUCUGCAAAACCAUCUCAUCGGCUUUGAUUAGCUAUUGUUCUGGAAGAGAGCUACUUUGUCUUGGAUCACCGAUGUCAAACUCAACGCCCGGGGGCCAAAUAUGGCCCGCCACAUCUGUUUAAAGGCCUACUGAAACCCACUACUACCGACCACGCAGUCUAUUAGUUUAUAUAUCAAUGAUGAAAUCUUAACAUUGCAACACAUGCCAAUACGGCCGGGUUAACUUAUAAAGUGCAAUUUUAAAUUUCCAGGGGAAUAUAUGGCUGAAAACGUCUCGGUAUGAUGACGCCUGCGCGUGACAUCACGGAUUGUAGAGGACAUUUUGGGACAGCAUUGUGGCCAGCUAUUAAGUCGUCUGUUUUCAUCGCAAAAUUCCACAGUAUUCUGGACAUCUGUGUUGGUGAAUCUUUUGCAAUUUGUUCAAUGAACAAUGGAGACAGCAAAGAAGAAAGCUGUAGGUGGGAAGCGGUGUAUUUCGGCCGGCUGCAGCAACACACACACAUAGCCGGUGUUUCAUUGUUUACAUUCCCGAAAGAUGACAGUCAAGCUUUACCAUUGGCCUGUGGAGAACUGGGACAACAGAGACUCUUACCAGGAGGACUUUGAGUUGGAUACGCAGACGCGGUACCGUGAGUACGCAACCAGAAUGUUGCCAUAAGCAUUUUGUUUAAUUUGUAUGUGUAACGCAGUACGCAGCUGCGGCUUCCAAACAUUUGAUCGCUUGCCCGUACGUGCGUGCCGCUAUGUGCAUGUCACGUACGUAACUUUGGGGACUUUGGGGAAAUAUAUGUGCUGUAUGAACUU